rnacentral:tRNA from 1 species
GGUGGCUCAGGGGUAGAGUGCUUGCCUUGCAUGCAUGAGGCCCUGGGUUCAAUUCCUCAGUACCA